rnacentral:rRNA from 1 species
AAGCUCGUAGUUGAAUUUCGGGGUUAGUAGGUUGGUCAUGCCUCCGGUAUGUACUGGUCUCACUGAUUCCUCCUUCCUGAUGAACCGUAAUGCCAUUAAUUUGGUGUUGCGGGGAAUUUGGACUGUUACUUUGAAAAAAUUAGAGUGUUUAAAGCAAGCUAACGCUUGAAUACAUUAGCAUGGAAUAAUGAAAUGGGACGUUCGAUCCUAUUUUGUUGGUUUCUAGGAUUGACGUAAUGAUUAAUAGGGAUAGUUGGG